rnacentral:rRNA from 1 species
GACGAACGCUGGCGGCGUGCUUAACACAUGCAAGUCGUACGGUAAGGCCCUUUCCGGGCUACUCGAGUGUCAAACGGGUGCGUAACAGUUGCGUAACCUUCCCCCGACUUUUGGAUAAGGCUAGGAAACUGGAACUAAUACUAGUACUGUACUCCUACUGCAUGGACGGGGUUGGUAAUCUCUGGCGGUUGUGGUUGGACUGGCGGGCUAUCAUCCUGUUGGUUGGGUAGUGGUCGACGAAGGGGGCGACGGGUAGCCGGCACGAGAGGGUGACCGGCCACAUUGGGACUGAGGGACGGCCCAGACUCCUACGGGCGGCAGCAGGGGGGAAUAUUGCACAAUGGGCGCAAGCGUGAUGCAGCAGCGCCGCGUGCGGGAUGACGGCCUUCGGGUUGUAAACCGCUUUCAGCAGGGACGAAGCUUUUUGUGACGGUACCUGAAGAAGAAGCACCGGCUAACUACGUG